CUUUGUUGUAAUCUGAGUGCACGGUGUUUAACAGGCGCAGCUGAGGGCACGAGAGAGAGAAACUAAUGAAGCCUGUUUAUUCGCCUUUUGUAAACUCUGUGCAGGUGGAGAAAAUAAAUGCUCCCUCAUGUUAA